GGAUUAGAUACCCUGGUAGUCCAUGCCGUAAACGUUGGGCGCUAGGUGUGGGGCUCAUUCCACGAGUUCCGUGCCGCAGCAAACGCAUUAAGCGCCCCGCCUGGGGAGUACGGCCGCAAGGCUAAAACUCAAAGGAAUUGACGGGGCCCCGCACAAGCGGCGGAGCAUGCGGAUUAAUUCGAUGCAACGCGAAGAACCUUACCAAGGCUUGACAUGCAGGGAAAUCUCACAGAGAUGUGAGGUCCGCAAGGGUCCUGCGCAGGUGGUGCAUGGUCGUCGUCAGCUCGUGUCGUGAGAUGUUGGGUUAAGUCCCGCAACGAGCGCAACCCUCGUCUUAUGUUGCCAGCGGAUAAUGCCGGGGACUCAUAAGAGACUGCCGGGGUC
rnacentral:rRNA from 1 species